GACGAACGCUGGCGGCGUGCUUAACACAUGCAAGUCGAACGGAAAGGCCCUGCUUUUGUGGGGUGCUCGAGUGGCGAACGGGUGAGUAACACGUGAGUAACCUGCCCUUGACUUUGGGAUAACUUCAGGAAACUGGGGCUAAUACCGGAUAGGAGCUCCUGCUGCAUGGUGGGGGUUGGAAAGUUUCGGCGGUUGGGGAUGGACUCGCGGCUUAUCAGCUUGUUGGUGGGGUAGUGGCUUACCAAGGCUUUGACGGGUAGCCGGCCUGAGAGGGUGACCGGCCACAUUGGGACUGAGAUACGGCGCAGACUCCUACGGGAGGCAGCAGUGGGAAAUAUUGCACAAUGGGCGGAAGCCUGAUGCAGCAACGCCGCGUGCGGGAUGACGGCCUUCGGGUUGUAAACCGCUUUCGCCUGUGACGAAGCGUGAGUGACGGUAAUGGGUAAAGAAGCACCGGCUAACUACGUG
rnacentral:rRNA from 1 species